CGGACGGGUGAGUAACGCGUGGGGAACCUGCCCUGUACCGGGGGAUAGCAGCCGGAAACGGCUGAUAAUACCGCAUAAGCGCACGAAUGUCGCAUGACAUGGUGUGAAAAACUCCGGUGGUAUAGGAUGGACCCGCGUCUGAUUAGCCGGUUGGUGGGGUAAAAGCCUACCAAAGCGAAGAUCAGUAGCCGAGUUGAGAGACUGACCGGCCACAUUGGGACUGAGACACGGCCCAGACUCCUCGGGAGGCAGCAGCA
rnacentral:rRNA from 1 species